UCGUGUCUGUGAAGAAAACUACUGUUUCUAGGAAGGGGACCUGCUGGAGAUGGAGAGUGUGUUUAAGUUUGAUACGGGGUUGGUGUGAGUUAAGGAUAUGUAUAAAAUGGUUAAAUUCCGUUUCUGAUUCGUCCCAGAGGCCAAAGAUAUCAUCUAAGUAACGGAAAUAGACUAGGGGGCGUGACGGGCAUUUAAGGAAUGCAGAUUCCUCCCAGUCUGCCAGAUAGAUGUCCGCGUAGGCCGGUGAAUAUUUCCUCCCCAUUGCGCAGCCGCAUAUUUGUAGAAAGAAGGAUUUAUCAAAUAAAAAGUUGUUGCGGCCUCGAGGCCCAGGACAGUGUCGAUGUUCGUGUACAAGGAGAAAUCGUCGAUUGAAAAGAUAAACGUGUUAUCAGGGACGCUGAGAUUCUUCAACUUGUUGACAAAGGUGUAUGUGUCCUUAAGGUAGCUCGGGACGUCGAGGUCGGAGGUCACGGAAGGAGCGGAGGUCCUGAUCAAUGAGCUGGCGUAUAGGCUUUGAGACGGACUUCAAGGCUGAUUCCCAGAUAGACGGCGUAAUAAAAGGUAAGUAAAAAUAAUCAGUGUUAUAUUUAAAAUAAUCGAGAAUUUUUAACCGCCUGUGGUAAGUAUGUAGAUCUCAUCUCAAUAGGUCACGGUCUGGGAGUGACGGUGUCGUGAUGAAGGUGAGGCCUCGUUCGAGGAUCUCCUGAAAUAGUAACAUAGUUACGCCAUUAAAUGCGUUUAUGUAAACAUUUUUAGCGAGAAAUGUGCAUUUUACUUUCAUAAUGUUCGCUCGGUGAAUGUGAAGGAUGUUUGGUUUGAUAGUUAUGACGAAGAGGGAACGCUCCGUUCACUUGCAUGGACAGUGUCUCUGGUUGCUAUGCAACCUCAACGUCUUGGCGGACUAUAUCUCUGCUGAUCAACACUACGAGUGCUGGAAACACACCAGACACACCAUGUGAAGUUAUUUAACCCGAUUAUUGUUAUUUAUAUCUGAGAUUAUUUAAUCUAACCCGAUCCAAGCUCUAUCAUGCACCCAAACACGGCGGUGUUUGGGUUUCCUUCCUCGGACUCCUAAAUCAAGCGCAGCCACAGGCGCGUAGCUGCGUACGUAGGACCAUUUUUGACACAAAAUGGUCAAGCAACAUUUUAGCUGCGUUACGCACGUAAAUCUUACGCGGGUUACGCGUUUGGUGUGUUCGUACCUUAAGCGUCGACAGUGUGUUGAGAUAACCAGCACGUGAGUCAACGUCCUCGAUAUUCUCCCUCACAAAGUCAUUAAAAGACUUGACACAACGGAGUUGGGUGGCGGAUAGCCUGAUAGAUACCGUUAUGAGGGGAAUUGCAAUGCAAGCCUGGGGGAAUGUUUCUCUGGCCGUCCUAAUUAAACGUUGGGUUUCCUUAAUUAUUGUGAUAGCUGUCUGUUGUCUAAGGCAGUUGUUUAUGCCAAUAGACAAUAAGAUGAGCUUAGUGUCCAAUCUGGGAGAUGUGUGUUUCUGCAAGAUGGCUGUUAGAUGUCUUAAUGUGGCUCCUGGAAAGCUAUCUAUCUGGAUGUCGUCCAUUUUUCUUUUUGGGAUGCGGGCCAAGUUGGAAUCGCCCAUGAAAAUCAUGUGUUUUCUAAUAGACAGGGACCACAUAGUGGCUUUGCGGUUCGUAGGGGGGUGUAUGCAGGGCUGGUGGUAGGAAGCACUGAGCAUAGGGGAAGAGAAAAGAUAAGGAAAAGUCGGGGUUUGGCGACUCGGACCUUUCCCCACUGGGACAAGGGCAACAACAGCAGGAGUGGUCAGAGGAGGCGUGAGAGGGCAAGGGUGAAUCUCCACGCAACCUGUGAGUGAGUCAGAGUUCUGAAUUGAGCCAUUCUUAGUGAUGAUUAUCUUGUUCCUUGUCAUGGAAGGUAACACCGUGAGGGGAAAAACGGUCUGUCUAGUUACUGGACCAGAUGAAAUGAGACGGAGAGGUAAUAAAGUCUGUCGGCACGAGGACCUUGGAUUUAUUAA